rnacentral:rRNA from 1 species
AAUUGGAGGUGGAGAAACCUAAUGGGAAUCUCUUAGUAAUGGCGAAUGAAAAGAGAUGUGCUUAGUGUCAAAAUCAGGGUUUCCCUGACUUGUAGGCUGUAGGCGCUAUGCCAACUUGGGUGCAGGUGCAAGUCUCUUGGAAUAGAGCACCAGUGAGGGUGAGGGUCCCUUCUGUCAUCUGUCAUCCCUUGUAGACGGUUUGCGUUCUGAGAGUCGUGUUCUUCUGGAAUAGAGCGCCAAGUGGGUGGUACUCUUUGCCUAAGGAGCAUUACAUACUUGAGACCAAUAGUGAACAAGUACCAUGAGGGAAGGAUGAAAAGGACUUUGGAAAGAGGGUUAAGAGGACAUGAAGCUGCUGGAAGGGAAGUGGAUUGGACUUCUGUCUGUGGCAAGAUUGCAGGUUGCACUACUCUCUGAGGAACUGCGACUUGUGUUUCUUGCUACUUAGUGGGAUUCUGUGUGGUGUCCACAAUCUAAGCUUUACUUGGCAAAAACCUGCUGGUUGCUCCAUAGUUUAGCUUUCUGUUGGCACUACAUAAUUCUUCCACUAAAGAGUUCAAUUUUACCCGUCUUGAAACACGGACCAAGGA